UACGGAGGGUGCGAGCGUUGUCCGGAAUCAUUGGGCGUAAAGGGCUCGUAGGCGGUUUGUCGCGUCGGGAGUGAAAACCUCGGGCUUAACUCGGGGCUUGCUUUCGAUACGGGCAGACUAGAGGUAUGCAGGGGAGAACGGAAUUCCUGGUGUAGCGGUGAAAUGCGCAGAUAUCAGGAGGAACACCGGUGGCGAAGGCGGUUCUCUGGGCAUGAUCUGACGCUGAGGAGCGAAAGUGUGGGGAGCGAACAGG
rnacentral:rRNA from 1 species